CACUGUAGUAUAGUUUGAAGUCAGGUAGUGUGAUACCUCCAGCUUAUUAUUGGUGUUUUUUUUUUUUUGCUUAGAAUAUGGACAUUUCAAGACCCAGAAAAGAUGAAAUAAUUUAUUACCAGCAGACUGAAAUAAGAAAUGAUAAGUGAAAUGUUCAGAAAAAAUGAGAAUAGAUGAAAAUAUGAAUGCUUGCAAAGGUCUAUGAGCAAUCAUAAAUGGCAAUUAUGUUCUACUUAUUUUGAACAUGCUAAUAUAAAUAGAUACCUGUAUCUGCUAACAUUGUCAUAUACUUUGAUGUGUGGGCAUACUUCUGACUGUAAAGCUGCUAAAUUAUAAUUUUCAAAAAGUUUUUUUUAGAGAGACAAGGUUUCACUGUUUUGGCCAGGAUGGUCUCGAUCUGUUGACUUUGUGAUCCGCCCACCUCAGCCUCCUAAAGUGCUGGGAUUACAGGCGUGAGCCACCACGCCCAAUCUGGCUUAUCUGUUUUUAAGGUAUGUUUUGUAUGACACGUCAUAUUUUUACAAAUAAAACAUUUCUUCCUGAAUUCCUACAUAUGCUGAACAAACACAUAGAUUGAAACCUAAAUUGUUUCAACUAAACUUCUAAAUUAUAAUUUUUAUAAUUGAGCUUUAAAACUAUAAAUAUUUCAAUGAGGUAAAGCUCAUGACAUAUUACUAAAUGUAUAUGCUAAUAUGCUGUCCAUUGGUGCAAAAGUAAUUGUGGUUUUUGCCAUUAAAGUAAUGGCAAUUACAUUUGCACAAACCUAAUAGAUUUAAAAGGUGUUUCCUACUACUGCUGAGGCUUGUAGACAUGGUGAAAGGGCCCAGAGUAGUGAAAUUUUAGUUUACCUCAACUGUCUCUCAUCAUUCUUAUACUUACUUUUUAUUCUUAUUUUCAACAUACUGAAUCUGCAGAUGGCCUUUUAAUUCAGGCUGACUAUAUAAACAUACUGUGAGAUUACUUUGGUGUUUUAGGGAGGCUUUCAUUCCAGGGCAGCCAAUUAGCAACCUUAACUGGGUGAUAGAUAAUUACCACUAGGAAAACGAGAUGUUUGCUACAAACUUGUUUACUUCCCUGUAAU
rnacentral:lncRNA from 1 species